GUGAAACCGUGGGUUUCGAAGCCUCGCCUCCGCCUUUCGUUGCUUAGAGCACCUCUUCUUUUCAUCGUCUUCUUUUCUUCUUCAUCUUUGUCUCUGAUUUUCUCCACCUCUCUAUCUCCUUUUGGCUUCAAUUUUAUUUAUUUAUUUUCUGUUGUUAAUUUUGGUUAAUGGGUUGAUCGAUGCCUUCGCCUGAGACUUCAGCAACACCGAUGAACGACGACUCCGACUCCGACUCCAUCAACACUAAUGAACGACAAGGUAAAGAGAAACAAACUUAUUAUGUUGAAGAAAGGAAAUGGUGUAGUUAUUUAUUUAUGUUCAAGCAGAAACUAGAUUGACAAAGAAUCUAAAUAGGCAAGAAAUUGUAUGUGUACUUUGUGGUUUCUGGUGGUUUUCUGAUUAGGCCAGAUUUGAUGAGAAAUUUUGGUUUUUCUAAUUGGCGAUGGAUUGGAAUUCCUAGUUUGUAAAUCUCUGUUUCGGUUGCUGAAUAUGCAAAAUUGAAAAUUUUGAGAGUUUUUGGCCUUUUCACUUUUGGGCAUUGAAAAGUUUGACAGAUAGUGCUGAAAAAGGUAGCAGUCUAUUAUGCCUUGCAUAUCUUUGUGUGUUUUUUACGAGAGUAAGAUAGCUGUCUUGUAAUAAGAUAAAUGGUAAUGUUAUAUAUGAUCAAUUCUUUGUGGUUAGGGUUAGGGUUUCUCUAAAGAAAGUAUGGUUAGGGUUUCUCCAAAGAGGUGUGACUGUGAGACUAGAGCGGGUUAGGUUAGGAGGAAGCCGUGGAGUGAUACGAGAAAUGAUUUUUGUAUAUUCUUUUGUGUUAUUGUUUUAAAAAAUAAAACUUAGUUCUGUACUUUUAAUUAGAAGAUUGGUCCAUACUGUACGCUUGAAUAUGUUGGAUUAGCAAGCCAGGAUGCAUCUUGUAGUUGUCUAGUUUGUUGUUUGUUUUUACGUUACCUUGUCGCAUGAGGCAUCAAUGGCUCAUUUGUUGCAAGCUACAUUUAUAAUUGUAUUAGCACUACCCCUUAGUCACAAGUUGUUAAACCUUCGUAUUUUGGCUCACUUGCCAAAUCUUAUUGUAGUUAUUUAUUUUUCAUUUUGUCAUUAGCAUUAUUAAUUUUUUUGCACACAGAAUAUAUUAUUGUAUUCUAAAAUGGAAAACAAGACCAUGCGAAUCACAUGUCCUUCUUCAUUUUGUCUCCAACUCAUUCAAGAAUCUACAUAUUGGAAGAAAUCAAUCAAGUACCUAAACUGCCAUCCUUGUUCACCACACAAACAUUAUUUCAAUUUCGGAAAAUGUCAGAAAUAAAUAGUAGCAAAUUACAUGCUGCAAAAAGUGUAUCACGUCUGUAGCAAAGAGGAUUAAACAAGUGAAAUUACAAAACAAUUAACUCAGUUCCUGGAGGUAGUUUUUUACCUAUCUGCAAAGCACGCUUUCUUGCUGCCCUCAAUUGUUUCUGGGUUGUAACAAAUUCAGACAACAGAGUGGAUUCUUCAACGACAACCUUUCUGAGAUCGACGAGAAACGUUUCAAGCGCAACGGCAUUCUCAGUGAAGUACAUGGCAAGCUCAGUGUCGAUACUAGACCCAACGAACCCAGAAAAUUUCACCACCUUAAGGCACUGAUGAGGACAUUUAUUAACCUUCUGCAAAUUCCUCAGACAUGGCACUCGUGCCCAUCUUAGCUGCACAAGGACAAAAACAAUAGCUUAUCAAUCUACCUUAGACAAGUUAAUUUCACAUAUACAAGUUUCAAAAACCACAGAAAAACAAUACAACUUUUAGAAGUUUGUGUGCAUAAACAUGAAUCAACAAAAACCUUUCUGAAACCAUUAAAUAAACUUCCCAACUUUAAAUUGUAAGACAUGCUGAAAAUAAAUUUACAUCCAAUGUAAAUCUAUGCAAGAAAGGAGACCGCUCUAUCAAUUUAGUCAAAUUAAGGAGGCUUUGCCGAUCACUUGCGACAACAUUCAAUGUUAAGUCCUUGAGACAAGUUAAUUCUGGAAAUUCUGGGUGCCUCACCAUUGCACUCUGACAGAUGAAAAGCAAAUUUUGAAAAUAAAGUCUAUAUAUAUAUAUAAUAAUAAUAAUAAAUACUGAAUUAUUUCAUAUACUGACCAUAUUCAGAUUCAUGUGCAAGUUGAGAUUGAGAGUCACCAGCUGAGGAAGACAACUUUUAACCGGAAGAAAAGUUGGAACUAUAGACCUAGUACUUUCUGCAAGUGAUACAUUUACAAGCAAGGGUGCAUGCCUCAAACGAAUACUGUCAUAGAAACCCAGCAUUCCGUGAUAAAUAAAUGACACGAGAUUAGGAGCACAAAUCUCAAUUUUUUCUAAAUAUAUACAGUCACUUAUUUGUAGGAACUUCAACCGGAGUGACAAACCGGCAACUUUCAAAGUUACUAAUUGAUCCGAGCAAGAAACGCAAAGAUGCUCAAGGAGUUCACAAUUGGAUAGAAAGUGCUCAACAAGUUCACCGGUUAUGUUUACAAAUGACAAGGAGAGGUGUUUAAGGGACUUGAUGCAGGAAACGCCGAAAGGUCUUCUAAAUGGCUUAUCUGGAAAGAUAUAACUGGCAGCUGAGGAAUACAACUUUUAACCGAAAGAAAAGGUGCAAUUAUAGACCUAGUACUUUCUGCAAGAGAUACAUUAACAAGCAAGGGUGCAUGCCUCAAACGAAUACUGUCACAAAAACCCAACAUUCCCUUAUAAAUAAAUGAUACGAGAUUAGGAGCCCAAAUCUCAACUAAUCCUAAAGACGUACACUCACUUAUUUGUAGGAAAUUCAACCGGAGUGAUGAACCAGCAACUUUCAAAUUUACUAAUUGAUCUGAGCAAGAAAUGCAGAGAUGCUCAAGGAGUUCACAGUAGGAUAGAAAGUGCUAAACAAGUUCGCCGGUUAUAUUUACAAAGGACGAAGAGAGGUGUUUAAGGGACUUGAUGCAGGAAAUACCAAAAGGGCUUCUAAAUGGCUUAUCUGGAAAGAUAUAACUGGGAGAAGAAAAACGAGACCGUCUGCCUGCUUCCAAAUCUAUCUCAAGGCCUUGAACUCUCCUCCACAUUGCAAAUUCAAUCCAAUUGUCGAUUUCAGAACUACUAGGACUGUAAUCGAGUGAGGAAGAACGAAUUUUGAAUUCAUCUAAGGAUGGACCCUGGUGCAAUUGCAAGACUUGAUUCACCCAAUUGUAACUAGAUGUUGUUUUCACUCGUUGCCUUCUUUUCUUCUGUGGUUUGGAUAAUGCAUCUAUAUCAUCGAAGUUGAGACAAGUAAUCUGUUUCCACACACAGAUCCACCUCUUAGAGAGGACACAAGUUCUUGCUGCUUCCCUAAUACCCAAUAAGGAAAGAAUGCUAAUUAGAAUGACAUCUGGUAGCUGACUGAUCUGAUCCUCCUCCGAAUAAUUAUCUUCCUUAUCACCCAAAUUGAUUGGAAUCUUUUGUCGUUUCCCAUAUGUCCAUCCAGAAUGCUUAGCCUUUCUUUUCGGCAUGGAAGUUAGAACACCCUUGUUAUUAAUUUACUCUCUUCUUAAAUAUUACAAUGUAAUGAAAUAAGCUGCAGAAGUGGAGCAAACCGAUUGUUACUAAAACCAACUAUCAAACACAUGAAAAGAAGCGAUCAUCUAUAAUAAACGAAGGCGGCGAAAAAGUUGGGUUCGUGAAUACAAAUAAUCUAAGCUAGUGACUCUAGCAGUGAAACCUUAAAACAAAGAAAAGAAGACAAGGCUGCAGAUUAAAAGCUGGUGCUGGUGUUUUUCAUUCACAACAACGUUUAUGAAAUCACACUUGUAUUUGAUUCUGCGUAAAUAAAAAGCAGGGAGGAAGCCAAUAGCUGAUUAAAAGGCCCUGCUUUUCAUUCAAAACUUUGCAAUCUAGAAUUACCAAAGCAGCUACCCUAUUAUUUAUAGGCAGCAAACCGACUAAAAUCCAAAUCCAAAUCCAAAUCCAAAUCCAAAUCCAAGUCCAAAUGGAAACUACAUUUCUAUUUCCCUCUUUUUAAAGGAGAAGCGGAACCUUUUCUACGUAUUUGGUACAACUACAACAUCUAUAGACAAUUUUGGAUGUAAGCCAUGAAACAUAAUUGCGCCUUUGAAAGAGUAAAUCUGACACUGAUAGGUAUUUUGAUUUCAAAAGCUGGCGAAUUUGAUUGAAAAUCGUCAUGUAACUCAAAACUCCAAACUUAUAACAGGAAAUGAAGUUACGCAAAUCGAAAGGGAAGAACUUACUUAUUUGAGGGGUGGACAGCCUCGGCAUAUAUCUGCAACGCCUCUAGCCGCGAAGGGAAAUGGGAAAUGGGGAAAUGGGAAAGUCAUCAACAUGGUUUACCCUGUCCCCCAGAUGGGAUCUCUGUUUUGAGCUGGCUUUCUUUACUGUUAUUUGGUUGGGGUCGAGCCAGUUUACUAAACUCCGACGGAGCCUUAGAUUUGUCUAGACUCUAGCCCUUAGUGUAAUUGGUUUCUGUCUGUGUUCUUGCCGGCUCUGCCAGCUGUGUUGUAUUUGUUUCCCUUCUGGGCUGUUUUAAAUACAACCACCUCUUUCAGAACUAAAAAAUAAAAUAAAAAAGACCAACUCUCUGGCGGGUUUCACCUUGAUUUUUGUUUGGAGGGGUAAAAUGGGAAUUUCAAACGUAAGUUGGGUCUAAAAUUAAAUGGACCGAACUCGGUCCGGUCCAUUUAGUAAUUCCUACACAAAACUUACAAGUAGAGGCCCGCCCAAAAAAACUUAAAAAAAACAAAGGCCUAGCCGGUCGGCGAGAAACACACGAAGGGCUCGUUUGGGAAUGCUUCUUUAUGAAGCGCUAAUGUAAGUAACGCUUAUGCCAGUAGAACUUAUGACAUAAGGCCUUCUACAAAGAAGAAGUUUGUUGUUUGGAUGUUACAUUUAAAAGUGCUUUCCCAAAAUAUUAUAAUAAAUGUAGGAAAUAAAAAUUAACAGGAUUCCAAAAUAAAAACACAGCUUUUAAAAGUUGUGAAAUGUAAAGAUAGUGAUGGAUUAAUAGAAGCUUAAAGGUUUCCAUGGGUGUUUUGGCGUCUGUUGGCCUUUUCACGGGUAGUGUUUUGGUUUUAAUAGGAGAGAAAAAGUGAGAAAAAAAGAAGAAAGGAAGGGUAUCUUGGCAUUUAAAUAUAGGUAUUUUCGGCAUUUUAAAAGUUUCAUUAAAGGGAGCCAAGUGCUUCCCUUGUUUUUGUCCUGCAACGCUUUUAAGAAGAAGCACAUCUCAAGUGCUUCUUCUAAAACCACUCCACGUGCUUUUGGAUCUCACCCAAAGCGCUUUUGCAAUUUUUGCCAAACACCAUUUUUAAAAGACAGAAGCGCUUUUACUCAUUUAGAAGCACUUUUCGCUGCUCCAAAAGCACUCCCAAACGAGCUCGAAUACUAAAAAACUAGCUUCUUCGCAUGCGCUUCUGCGUCUGAGAGAGGCUUUUAUUUUAUUUUAUUAUAUUUAUUUAAAAGAAUUAAAAAUAAUAAUAGGUAGUUGUGUUCCAUAAAAAUAGGACAUAUUAUCUAAUUUUGUUUUAAUAUGAAAAAAAUGAAUUUACCAUAUUAUCCUCAUUUAAUUAAUACUUUCAAUUCUUAAUGUUUGAAUUAACCAAAUACAAUUUCUCUGCUAAUUUUUUUUUAAAAAAAAUUUCAAAGGGUGAAAUUGGAGUGUCAAAUCUAGCUAGAACAAAAAGUUUAAUUUCUUAUAAAAAUAAUACACAUGGCAAAUUUUGAGUAGAAGUAUCACCAGCUGACUUGAUGAUAUCGUACUAUUCUAUAAUUUCUCCAGCUGGAGGGGGAGUAUUAACUAGAAGAAAUAUGAAUUCCUUAAUUAUAGGAUCUUAUAAAUUGGAGAUUGUAAUUUACUUUCUGUACAAGACUUACCUAGAAUGGCUUAGCUAUUAAUUGUAUAAGAAUUACAUCCUAUUGUAUAUUUUAAGAUCAAAUAACAUAGAGAUGUUGUAAAGUCAACAAUGUGGAUCCCAAAAUGGCAAGCCCCACUACCCAAUUGAUUGAAGAAUAUUAAUGAUGUUUGUCUGCCAAUUAUUCGAGCGAAGCCAAAUACCUGUGAAGUGAACAGCCAAUGUCUUUGGCUUAUAAAUAGAUACCUCAAUCAGGAGAAGAGGGCGCUUAGAGAAGAGGAAGAGAAGGAAGAAAGAACGUGAGUGAGUGGAGAGGAAAGAGAGCAGAGAGAAAUUCUCAAAAAGAGAAAAUUCAGUGAGCCACACAUAUUGUAAACACUAAAGUUGUAACCCUAUUAUUUUAUAUAGUGGAAAAGUUACUGCUGCUGCUCCGAGGACGUAGGCAUAGCCGAACCUCGUUAAAUGUUGUGUCUCAUCUACUUUACGUGCAGCUCAAUAUUCGCACAUAUUCCAGUUCAUUUUAUAACAAGAGAGAUGUUCUCCCUAGCAAUCUCCUUAUUUUUCUAACAGUAACAAACAACUUGGGAUUCACCACCCCUUUUUUUUCCGCCUAGCUUCAUUCAGGGCCUUUUUAAACUUUAUUUUCCUCUUCCAUACUAUUUAGAUCUUUUCCCCCUCACCCGUCUCAUGGCCCGACAAAGUGGUGAUUGACUGGAUUAAAUAUACAGUGAAGAUUCCUCCCCUUGUUUCUUCUACGACAAAGUGGUGUCUAGAUUAACAGCUUCCUCUAAACUGGAAUCAACACCAAUACGAUGUCAGCUUUGCAUACAGGGCUUCUAUACAUAUUGAUAUACGGAAUUGUUAUUUAUUUCCUGAAUAGAAAAAUGGGCUGAAAAAAUCAUAACUAUACUUAACAAUGUUGCUUUUGCUAAUUCGAAUUGAAGGGUGAUAUAAAAUCGGUCUAUUUCCGGCAUCAUACCCAUAGUUAGCGCAUUCAUCAUAGUUAGAAGCUCUAGCUCCGUAUCAAAGUCACGGUCGUCACUAUCAUCAAGUACAUAUCCCGUGUACAUCUAAGUACUGCUGUUCUUAAAUCUAGCUGCCUAGAACUACAACAGAAACACACAAUGUCCCAUGAACGUAAUGAACCAAAACAAGAUCCAUACAAAAAGUCAUAGGCCAAAGAGUAGCUAGGCAGCUAGAUUUAAGAACUUAUAACAGUGAAGAUUUCCACGUCUUCUCCAACAAUCGUUGGUCAUCACGACCAUACAUUAUUUCAAUUUCCGAAUAUGUCAGAAAUAAAUAGUAGCAAAUUACAUGCUGCAAGAAAGUCUGUAGCAAAGAGGACUAAACAAGUGAAAUCACACAACAAUUAACUCAGCUCCUGGAGGUAGUUUUUCUCCAAUCUGCAAGGCCCGCUUUCUUGUUGCCCUCAUUUUUUUCUGGGUUGUAACAAAUUCAGACAAUGGAGUGGAUUCUUCAACGACAACCUUUUUGAGAUCGAUGAUAAACGUCUCAAGCGCAACGGCAUUCUCAGUGAAGUACGUGGCAAGCUCAGUGUCGAUAAUAGACCCAACGAACCCAGAAAAUUUCACCACCUUAAGGCACUGAUGAGGACAUUUAUUAACCUUCUGCAUAUUCCUCUGACACGAGUCACGUACCCAUCUUAACUGCACGAGGACAUAACAAAAGCUUACGAAUCUACCUUGGAAAGUUGAUUCCACAUAAAUCAAUUACAAUUCACAGUUCUCAAACCAUUAUAUAAACUUCCCAACUAUUAAAAUUUUAAGAUAUACUGAAAAUAAAUUUACCUUCAAUGUAAAUCUAUGCAAGAAAGGUGACCGCUCUAUCAGUUUAGUCAAAGCAAGGAGGCUUAGCCGAUCAGUUGCGAUAACACUCAACGAUAAGUCCUUGAGACAAGUAAAUUCUGGAAAUUCUGGGAGCCACACCCCUCCUCUCUGAAAGAUGAAAAGUUAAAGUCAAAAUUUGGAAUAUAUAUAUAUAUAUAUAUAUAUGUACAUAAAUAAACAUUGAAUUAUUUCAUAUACCGACCGAAUUCAGAUUCAUGUGCAUGUUGAGAGUCACCAGCUGAGGAAUACAACUUUUAACCGAAAGAAAAGGUCCAAUUAUAGACCUAGUACUUUCUGCAAGAGAUACAUUAACAAGCAAGGGUGCAUGCCUCAAUCGAAUACUGUCCCAAUAACCCAACAUUCCCUUAUAAAUAAAUGACACGAGAUUAGGAGCCCAUAUCUCAACUAAUCCUAAAGACGUACACUCACUUAUUUGUAGGAACUUCAACCGGAGUGAUGAACCAGCAACUUUCAAUUUUACUAAUUGAUCUGAGCAAGAAAUGCAGAGAUGCUCAAGGAGUUCACAGUAGGAUAGAAAGUGCUCAACAAGUUCGCCGGUUAUAUUUACAAAGGACAAAGAGAGGUGUUUAAGGGACUUGAUGCAGGAAAUACCAAAAGGGCUUCUAAAUGGCUUAUCUGGAAAGAUAUAACUGGGAGAAGAAAAACGAGACCGUCUGCCUGCUUCCAAAUCUAUCUCAAGGCCUUGAACUCUCCUCCACAUUGCAAAUUCAAUCCAAUUGUCGAUUUCAGAACUACUAGGACUGCAAUUGAGUGAGGAAGAACGAAUUUUGAAUUCAUCUAAGGAUGGACCAUGGUGCAAUUGCAAGACUUGAUUCACCCAAUUGUAACUAGAUGUUGUUUUCACUCGUUGCCUUCUUUUCUUCUGUGGUUUGGAUAAUGCAUCUAUAUCAUCGAAGUUGAGACAUGUAAUCUGUUUCCACACAUAGAUCCACCUCUUAGAGAGGACACAAGUUCUUGCUGCAUCCCUAAUACCCAAUAGGGAAAGAAUGCUGAUUAGAAUGACAUCCGGUAGCUGACUGAUCUGAUCCUCCUCCGAAUAAUUCUCUUCCUUAUCAACCAAAUUGAUUGGAAUCUUUUGUCGUUUCCCAUAUGUCCAUCCAGAAUGCUUAGCCUUUCUUUUCGGCAUGGAAGUUGGAACACCCUUGUUAUUAAUUUACUUUCUUCUUAAAUAUUACAAUGUAAUGAAAUAAGCUGCAGAAGUGGAGCAAACCGAUUAUUACUAAAACCAACUAUCAAACAGAUGAAAAGAAGCGAUCAUCUAUAAUAAACGAAGAAGGCGAAAAAGUUGGGUUCGUGAAUACAAGUAAUCUAAGCAACCUUAAAAACAAAGAAAAGAAGACAAGACUGCAGAUUAAAAGCUGGUGCUGGUGUUUUUCAUUCACAACAACGUUUAUAAAAUCACACUUGUAUUUGAUUCUGCGUAAAUAAAAAAGCAGGGAGGGAGCCAAUAGCUGAUUAAAAGCCCCUGCUUUUCAUUCAAAAUUUUGCAAUCUAGAAUUACUAAAGCAGCUACCCUAUUAUUUAUAGGCAGCAAACCGACUAAAAUCCACCAAAUCCAAAUCCAAGUCCAACUGGGAAACUAUAUUUCUAUUUCCCUCUUUUUGAAGGAGAAGCGGAACCUUUUCUACUUAUUUGGUACAACUACAACAUCUAAAGAAAAUUUUGGAUGUAAGCCAUGAAACAUAAUUGCGCCUUUGAAAGAGUAAAUCUGACACUGAUAGGUAUUUUGAUUUCAAAUACAAAAAAGCUGGCGAAUUUGAUUGAAAAUCGUCAUGUAACUCAAAAUUCCAAACUUACAACAGGAAAUGAAGUUACGCAAAUCGAAAGGGAAAAACUUACUUAUUUGAGGGGUGGACAGCCGCGGCAUAUCUGCAACGCCAACCUCUAGCCGCGAAGGGAAAUGGGAAAUGGGAAAUGGGAAAUGGGGAAAUGGGAAAGACAUCAACGGCUCCGAAGACCAACUUAUGUGGCUGUUUGGAGGGAUAAAAGGGGGAAUUUCAAACGUGUUGGGUCUAAAAUUAAAUAGACCCAACUCUUACACACGAGAUCGGUCCGGUCCGUUUAUGAAACACAAAAAGUAGAGGCCCGCCCAAGAAGGAUAAAAAGAAACAAAGGCCUAGUGGGUCAGCCAGAAACACAUGAAUACUAAAAAAAGAAAGUUAAAAAAAGGCCUAUCACAAUGAAAGACUAUGUCAGCCACACUCAUAACCUAACCUAACCUAACCUAACCUAAUCAUGAUGUUUGGGUAUAUAGAUACCAGUCAUUCUCAUUUGUCAGCCAAACUCAAUCUAUCUCAAACUCGAAAUCCAAGUAGAGAAACAAACAGAUCUCUCAACUUUCAGCUCCUCGAUCGACCAUGCUGUCGCCCUCUGUGACAAGAUCUCAUGUUCUCUGUAGCCCUCUGUGAAUUACGGAAGGCUCUGGAGACCAUGAGAUCUGAUCACAGGCAUCAGGGAAGAAGACUUGCUAUGAGUUCCAGUCACCCCAGAAGAAGACUUGCGAUAAAUCCAAAGAGCAGAAGAACCAUGGCCUGUGAAUGGCUUGAGAAGCCAGCCAGCACCACCUUUGGUGACGGGGGUCAUGAAACGCAGUGUCUUGUCUUGAUAGCUUAGAUUCAAGGGCCAAGGAUGAGUUAGGUGGUGAUGAUCGGCAUCAUCAAGGGGUGCGCAAUCAUCCAUUCUUUUUUUUCGAUUUUUUCUAGAAUAAUACAUUUUUGUUUUGUCUUUAAUUUUUUGUCUUUUUUUUUUGCUGGUAUUUUUGGCAAAUACUUAAAGUAUAUAAUAUUUAUUUAUUUUCAGUGAGCUUGGGCUAGAGCGUUUCCAUUUUUUGUUCCAUUUUGGGCCUUUUGUUUUCUGUUUAAUCUGGGCUGAUUCUGGUCAGAUUGUCUUCAUGGACCUGUAAUGGGUUUUUUCUUUCUCUUUUCCGGACCAAGAGUUUUAUAAAUUUCUGAAAAACAAUAAACGUUUUCUCCCUCCGUUUUAUGUCCCUAUUGUAUCAUUUUUUAUUAAUUUUUAUUAUUCAAAACAUCAACACACAAGAAUAUACAAAAAUCAUUUUGUAAUGUUUUUGUUUUCUCAUAAUGUAUAUGUAAUUUAACAACGACCGUAUCAUUUUCUUAAUGAUCAUAUUAACAUACCAAGUUGAUAACUAACUAAUCCAGUCUGUUAAUGAACGCGCGCGAUAAUAUUAGCUCCGCAGCUUUGAGAAACCCUAACCACACUUUCUUCGGAGAAACCUAACCAGCUCUGGUCUCGCACUUCUUUGGAGAAACCCUGACCACACUUUCUUUGGAGAAACCUAACCUGCUCUGGUCUCACACCUCUUUGGGGAAACCCUAACCUCCUCUAGUCUCACACUCUCUUCGGAGAAGCUGGAGCUUCUUUCUCCAGGUACCUUCCUAUUUGAUCAAUUUUUACAUCUGAUUCUGAACAUUUCAACUUGCCUUAUAGCUAAUGUAUCAUGUUGUGAAGUAUUUAUUUAGCUAGUAUAUUUAUUGAUUUUCAGAUUUGGGCUCCUAAACCCUAGUUCCCUUUUUCUUCUUUUCGGCAGCACAAUUUUACUUAUGCGGAGGUUAAUGUUUUCUGUAACAUGCUUUAUUAUUGUUGUGGCCUUUAACCAACUUUGGAGCAUUAAGUGGGCCUUGCUGCAAGCCUUUAAGAAUUUGGCAAUGACCAUUAUUUUUACAGAUUUAAGUGAGUUUGGAUUGUCACCGGUUGAUCAAUUAUGCUGACAAGGGGUGAAUUCCAUUAUUAGCCCAUUUUUGUUUGCUAUCCUAUUUGUCCUGAAACUAUUUUGAUCAACCAUGAAUUUGGCAAUGACCAUUAUUUUUACAGAUUUAAGCGAGUUUGGAUUGUCCCUGGUUGAUCGAUUAUGCUCACAACAAGGGGUGAAUUCCAUUGUUAGCCCACUUUUGUUUGCUAUGCUAUCAUUGCUAUGUGUCUGUGAAGAAACUAUUUUGAUCAACUUUGAGAUUUGUUGAAAAUUUUGUAUUUCUUGUAGUGCAGUUUGCCACAUUUAUAGUCAAUCAUGCUCUCUCUCUCUCUCUCUCUCUCUCUCUCUCUCUCUCUCUCUCACACUCUCACACAUACACACAGACCAAAUUUGAUUCACUUGCCAAAUCUUAUAAUGUUGGGAGAUUUGGAAUUUGGUUUUUAGCAUCAUCCUUCCACCAAUUCAAUGCUCUAUGAGAAGUCAUGUUAAAUGAGCCUUGGAGAAAGCCUUCAUGAACUUAAGUUUAUAGGUUUUUUUGGCUAUUCAUUUUAGCAGAUUACUUCAUUUGUAUUUUUGAAUUGUUCAAGUUUUCUCUAAUCAUUCUUGUUUCAUGGUUGCUGAUGUUGUUGAACACUUCAUUCUCAAAAUUGAUAAGUAUAUAGAUUAACACAACAUAUGCUUACAUUCAAUUCCAAGAAAGGACUUUGGUUGAUGUAUUUUUUCUUGGUGAAGAAUAAAGUAGAUACUGUGGAACUUGCUUGGACUCUUGGAUAGAAAUUUACAGCACCUAGUAUCAGCUGACUUGUUAUCAUGUUGCAUCCUGUCCUUGAUCAAAACACAUUUGUAUGUGCUAUGCAGCUGGCUAACUGGUCUCGCACCACUUUGGAGAAACCCUGACCACACUUUCUUUGGAGAAACCUAACCUGCUUUGGUCUCACACCUCUUUGGGGAAACCCUAACCUCCUCAGGUCUCACACUCUCUUUGGAGAAACUGGAGCUUCUUUCUCUAGGUACGUUCCUAUUUGAUCAAUUUUUACAUUUGAUUCUAAACAUUUCAACUUGCCUUCUAGCUAAUGUUUCAUGUUGUGAAGUAUUUAUUUAGCUAGUAUAUUUAUUGAUUUUCAGAUUUGGGCUCCUAAACCCUAGUUCCCUUCUUCUUUUGGUUGUUUCUUUCUUUUGGUUCAGUUUUUUGCAUUUCUGAGUUUUUUUUUUCUCACUAGUCUCACAAAAUGCCCGGAUUUAAAUAAAGUAUGUUCUUUUACUUUCUCUGUCAUUGCAUUUUGAGCAAAGCAUACAUAUUUGGGAGUAUUUUUGUGUGAAUUUGUUGGUAUUUUUGCUGACCUCCCUACCUGUGUUCCUUGUGUAAACGUUUUCUUUGGUAACUGUUAGUUGUUAAAAUAUUUAUUUAGCUAGUUGAUUUAUUGGUUUACAUUGCUCAUUUGUCUUUCUCCACUUUUUUCUAUCACAAUUUUAUACGGUUUAUUUAGCUAGUCAGUUUAUAAUAUUGCUCAUGUAUUAUGACUUAUCUCAUUUAUAAUUAGCUAUUUGAUUUAGUUUUGUGGUUUUUUUCAUGUGGUUUUGUAUUUAUUUAGCUAAUGUAGUUACCUUCUUCUUUUGGAUGUUUCUUUCUUUUGGUUUAAGCUCUAGUUCAAUUUUUUGCUUUUCUGAGAUUUUUUUUUCUCACUAGUCUCACAAAAUGCACGGAUUUAAAUAUACUUUCGUUUUCUUUGGUAACUGUUACUUGAUAAAGUAUUUAUUUAGCUAAUUGAUUUAUUGGUUUACAUUGCUCAUUUGUCUUUCUCCACUUUUUUCUAUCACAAUUUUAUAUGGUUUAUUUAGUUAGUCAGUUUAUAAUAUUGAUCAUGUAGUGUGACUUAUCUCAUUUAUAAUUAGCUAUUUGAUUUAGUUUUGUUGUUUUUUUCAUGUGGUUUUGUAUUUAUUUAGCUAAUGUUUCACUGAUAGUAGUUCCCUUCUUCUUUUGGUUGCUUCUUUCUUUUGGUUUAAGCUCUAGUUCAAUGCUUUUCUGAGUUUUUUUUCUCACUAGUCUCACAAAAUGCACGGAUUUAAAUAAACUAUGUUCUUUUACUUUCUCUGUCAUUACUUUUGAGUAAGGGAUACAUUUCUGGGAGUAUUUUUGUGUGAAUUUGUUGGUAUUUAUUGCUGGCCUGGCCUCCCAACUUGUGUUGCUUGUGUAAACGUUUUCUUUGAUAACUGAUACUUGUUAAAGUGUUUACUUAGCUAGUUGAUUUAUUGGUUUACAUUGCUCAUUUGUCUUUCUCCGCUUUUUUCUAUCACAAUUUUAUACAGGUCAUUUAGCUAGUCAGUUUAUAAUAUUGCUCAUGUAUUAUGACUCAUCUCAUUUAUAAUUAGCUAUUUGAUUUAGUUUUGUGGUUUUUUUCAUGUGGUUUUUUAUUUAUUUAGCUAAUGUUUUGCUGACACUAGUUCAAUUUUUUGUAUUUCUGAGUUUUUUUUCUCACUAGUCUUGCAAAAUGCACGGAUUUAAAUGGACUAUAUUCUUUUACUUUCUCUGUCAUUACUUUCGAGCAAAGCAUACAUAUCUGGGAGUAUAUUUUGUGUGAAUUUGUUGGUAUUUAUUGCUGGCCUCCCUACUUGUGUUGCUUGCAUAAACGUUUUCUUUGAUAACUGUUACUUGUUAAAGUAUUUAUUUAGCUAGUUGAUUUAUUGGUUUACAUUGCUCAUUUGUCUUUUUCCACUUUUUUCUAUCACAAAUUUAUACGGUUUAUUUAGCUAGUCAGUUUAUAUUGCUCAUGUAUUAUGACUUAUCGUAUUUAUAAUUAGCUAUUUGAUUUAGUUUUGUGGUUUUGUAUUUAUUUAGCUAAUGUUUCACUGACCGUACUACCCUUCUCCUCCUUUUGGUUGUUUCUUUCUUUUGGUUUAAGCUCUAGUUCAAUUUUUUGCAUUUCUGAGUUUUUUUUCUCACUAGUCUCACAAAAUGCACGGAUUAAAAUAAACUAUGUUCUUUUACUUUCUCUGUCAUUACUUUUGAGCAAGGGAUACAUAUUUGGGAGUAUUUUUGUGUGAAUUUGUUGGUAUUUAUUGCUGGCCUGGCCUCCAUACUUGUGUGGCUUGCGUAAACGUUUUCUUUGAUAACUGUUACUUGUUAAAGUGUUUACUUAGCUAGUUGAUUUAUUGGUUUACAUUGCUCAUUUGUCUUUCUCCGCUUUUUUCUAUCACAAUUUUAUACAGGUUAUUUAGCUAGUCAGUUUAUAAUAUUGCUCAUGUAUUAUGACUCAUCUCAUUUAUAAUUAGCUAUUUGAUUUAGUUUUGUGGUUUUUUUCAUGUGGUUUUGUAUUUAUUUAGCUAAUGUUUCACUGACACUAGUUCAAUUUUUUGCAUUUCUGAGUUUUUUUCUCACUAGUCUCACAAAAUGCACGGAUUUAAUAUAAACUAUGUUCUUUUACUUUCUCUGUCAUUACUUUCAAGCAAAGCAUACAUAUCUGGGAGUAGUGUGAAUUUGUUGGUAUUUAUUGCUGGCCUCCCUACUUGUGUUGCUUGCGUAAACGUUUUCUUUGAUAACUGUUACUUGUUAAAGUAUUUAUUUAGCUAGUUGAUAUAUUGGUUUACAUUGCUCAUUUGUCUUUCUCCAUUUGUUUCUAUCACAAAUUUAUACGGUUUAUUUAGCUAGUCUGUUUAUAUUGCUCAUGUAUUAUGACUUAUCUCAUUUAUAAUUAGCUAUUUGAUUUAGUUUUGUGGUUUUGUAUUUAUCUAGCUAAUGUUUCACUGGCCGUAGUUCCCUCCUCCUCCUUUUGGUUGUUCCUUUCUUUUGGUUUAAGCUCUAGUUCAAUUUUUUGCAUUUCUGAGUUUUUUUUUCUCACUAGUCUCACAAAAUGCACGGAUUUAAAUAAACUAUGUUCUUUUACUUUCUCUGUGAUUACUUUCGAGCAAAGCAUACAAAUUUGGGAGUAUAUUUUGUGUGAAUUUGUUGAUAUUUAUUGCUGGCCUCCCUACUUGUGUUGCUUGCGUAAACGUUUUCUUUGAUAACUGUUACUUGUUAAAGUAUUUAUUUAGCUAGUUGAUUUAUUGGUUUACAUUGCUCAUUUCCCAAUUUUUUAUGGUUUAUUUAGCUAGUCAGUUUAUAAUAUUAAUCAUGUAGUGUGACUUAUCUCAUUUAUAAUUAGCUAUUUGCUUUAGUUUUGUUAUUUUUUUCGUGUGGUUUUGUAUUUAUUUAGCUAAUGUUUCACUGAUAGUAGUUCCCUUCUUCUUUUGGUUGUUUCCUUCUUUCGGUUUAAGCUCUAGUUCAAUUUUUUGCUUUUCUGAGUUUUUUUUCUCACUGGUCUCACAAAAUGCACGGAUUUAAAUAAACUAAGUUCUUUUACUGUCUCUGUCAUUACUUUUGAGCAAAGCAUACAUAUCUGGGAGUAUAUUUUGUGUGAAUUUGUUGGUAUUUAUUGCUGGCCUCCCUACUUGUGUUGCUUGCGUAAACGUUUUCUUUGAUAACUGUUACUUGUUAAAGUAUUUAUUUAGCUAGUUGAUUUAUUGGUUUACAUUGCUCGUUUGUGUUCCUCCACUUUUUUCUAUCACAUUUUUAUACGGUUUGUUUUGCUAGUCAGUUUAUAUUGCUCAUGUAUUAUGACUUAUCUCAUUUAUAAUUAGCUAUUUGAUUUAGUUUUGUGGUUUUUUUCAUGUGGUUUUGUAUUUAUUUAGCUAAUGUUUCACUGACAGUUCCCUUCUAGCUCAAUAUUUUGCAUUUCUGAGUUUUUUUUCUCACUAGUCUCACAACGUGCACGGAUUUAAAUUAACUAUGUUCUUUUACUUUCUCUGUCAUUACUUUGGAGCAAAGCAUAUAUAUUUGGGAGUAUUUUUGUGUGAAUUUAUUGGUAUUUAUUGCUGGCCUCCCUACCUUUGUUCCUUGUGUAAACAUUUUCUUUGAUACUGUUACUUGUUAAAGUAUUUAUUUAGCUAGUUGAUUUAUUGGUUUACACUGCUCAUUUGUCUUUCUCCAGUUUUUUCUAUAACAAAUUUAUAUGGUUUAUUGGGUGAGUCAGUAUAUAUUGCUCAUGUAUUAUGAAUUAUCUCAUUUAUAAUUAACUAUUUGAUUUAGUUUUGUGUUUUUUCUGAUGUGGUUUUGUACAGGAGAAUGACUACCCAAAUUUCACAUAUCAACUUCGACAAUUGCAAUUUCAAGUCAAAAAGUGUCAUCCAAAAACCCUUAUUGGAUCACAAAUCUUAAUUUCUUGUAGGCAUCAUCAAAUGCAUAAAAGCACCUUUUCUUUCAAAACAAACAACCAAACAUUGUGAGACAGAUAAAGUGUGAAAUGAAAUUUCAGAAACCUCUUACCAAUUUUCUCCUCAAUGCCUUGGGGUCGAACAUUCCAAACAAAUAAAACCAGCAUUAUCUUCAAGUUUAAAACCAUCAUUAAUGAGGCACUCGAUGUGCUUCCAUUUCUUGCAGGUAUCACACUCAACCAUAUCCUCUCCAUCAUCAUCCUCUGCUCCACAGAUACAAGUCACUAGCCAUCCCCGUCCACCUUCAGCUACAUAGUUGCAAUCCAUGUCUGCCCCAUCACCCUUCACCCACAUAUUCUCUUUCAAUUCAUCCGUUCCCUCUCCUUCCAUUUCGGUGAUGGUGAAAUUGGAGAGUGCAUGAUAUGUAUCUUGAAUUAAACGAGUAACUCGACCCUUUAAAUCAGCCACAUCAUUUACGGGGAGUGUGGUACACUCGCAGCCAACCAUUCCCGGCAACUCAUUGUCAUCUGCAUCUCUCACCACAAAGGUAACUGUUAAACAUUCAGCUGACAUUUGCCUCAACGGGAUUUCCUUGCAAAAGACUUUGCAAUUCAAGAUGGUCUGGACGUGAUUUUUCCUCCUCAUUAAAACCUUAUCAUACACCGUCCACAAAUCUUUAUUUAGAUCCAUUUUCUUUCGGCCUCUCGUGCCACACCUCAUCUGCAGCAUGAAAGAUAAUAAAUCUUUCAUGCACUCUAGGGGAGUAAGGGACUUCUUGUAUUUUUCUACAAUUUCUUCAACCUCAGUCAAUGGAUGAGACCCAAGGGACUCAAUAGCAGUCGUGUAGGUAUCUCUCGAUACUCCAUAGCUUCCACGUAGAAACGUGUAUCCCCACCUCCCAAACCAAGUACUACCAAAAGCCACACUGAACAGCUGUUGUUUGUGAGACCGUGAGACGUGUGAGGGGGCCAUGGUGACUAGGUUGCUGUUCAGUGUGGCUUUUGGUAGUACUUGGUUUGGGAGGUGGGGAUACACGUUUCUACGUGGAAGCUAUGGAGUAUCGAGAGAUACCUACACGACUGCUAUUGAGUCCCUUGGGUCUCAUCCAUUGACUGAGGUUGAAGAAAUUGUAGAAAAAUACAAGAAGUCCCUUACUCCCCUAGAGUGCAUGAAAGAUUUAUUAUCUUUCAUGCUGCAGAUGAGGUGUGGCACGAGAGGCCGAAAGAAAAUGGAUCUAAAUAAAGAUUUGUGGACGGUGUAUGAUAAGGUUUUAAUGAGGAGGAAAAAUCACGUCCAGACCAUCUUGAAUUGCAAAGUCUUUUGCAAGGAAAUCCCGUUGAGGCAAAUGUCAGCUGAAUGUUUAACAGUUACCUUUGUGGUGAGAGAUGCAGAUGACAAUGAGUUGCCGGGAAUGGUUGGCUGCGAGUGUACCACACUCCCCGUAAAUGAUGUGGCUGAUUUAAAGGGUCGAGUUACUCGUUUAAUUCAAGAUACAUAUCAUGCACUCUCCAAUUUCACCAUCACCGAAAUGGAAGGAGAGGGAACGGAUGAAUUGAAAGAGAAUAUGUGGGUGAAGGGUGAUGGGGCAGACAUGGAUUGCAACUAUGUAGCUGAAGGUGGACGGGGAUGGCUAGUGACUUGUAUCUGUGGAGCAGAGGAUGAUGAUGGAGAGGAUAUGGUUGAGUGUGAUACCUGCAAGAAAUGGAAGCACAUCGAGUGCCUCAUUAAUGAUGGUUUUAAACUUGAAGAUAAUGCUGGUUUUAUUUGUUUGGAAUGUACGACCCCAAGGCAUUGAGGAGAAAAUUGGUAAGAGGUUUCUGAAAUUAUUUCACACUUUAUCUGUCUCACAAUGUUUGGUUGUUUGUUUUGAAAGAAAAGGUGCUUUUAUGCAUUUGAUGAUGCCUACAAGAAAUUAAGAUUUGUGAUAUUGCUUUAGCAUCUUCUAAUUGUUUUAUGUUUCAGUCUGGGGGCAUUUGGUUGGGCAGCACAGUUUUACUUAUACGGAGGUUAAUGUUUUCUGUAACAUGCUUUAUUAUUGUUGUGGCCUUUAACCAACUUUGUAGCAUUAAGUGAGCCUUGCUGCAAGCCUUUAAGAAUUUGGCAAUGACCGUUAUUUUUACAGAUUUAAGUGAGUUUGGAUUGUCACUGGUUGAUCAAUUAUGCUGACAAGGGGUGAAUUCCAUUAUUAGCCCAUUUUUGUUUGCUAUCCUAUUUGUCCUGAAACUAUUUUGAUCAACACGAAUUUGGCAAUGACCAUUAUUUUUACAGAUUUAAGUGAGUUUGGAUUGUCCCUGGUUAAUCGAUUAUGCUGACAACAAGGGGUGAAUUCCAUUAUUAGCCCAUUUUUGUUUGCUAUCCUAUUUGUCGUGAAGAAACUAUUUUGAUCAACUUUGAGAUUUGUUGAAAAUUUUGUAUUUCUUGUAGUGCAGUUUGCUACAUUUAUAGUCAAUCAUGCUCUCUCUCUCUCUCUCUCUCACACACACACACACACACACACACACAGACCAAAUUUGAUUCACUUGCCAAAUCUUAUAAUGUUAGGAGAUUUGGAAUUUGGUUUUUACAUCAUCCUUCCACCAAUUCAAUGCUUCAUGAGAAGUCAUGCUAAAUGAGCCUUGGAGAAAGCUUUCAUGAACUUAAGUUUAUAGGUUUUUUUGGCUGUUCAUUUUAAUAUAUGACUUCAUUUGUUUUUUUGAAUUGUUCAAGUUUUCUCUAAUCAUUCUUGUUUCAUGGUUACUGAUGUUGAACACUUCAUUCUCAAAAUUGAUGAGUAUAUAGAUUAACACGACAUAAGCUUUCAUUCAAUUCCAACAAAGGACUUUGGUUGAUGUAUGUUUUCUUGGUGAAGAAUAAAGUAGAUACAGUGGAACUUGCUUGGACUCUUGGGUAGAAAUUUGCAACACCUAGUAUCAGCUGACUUGUUAUCAUGUUGCAUCCUGUUCCUUGAUCAAAACACGUUGUAUGUGCUAUGCAGCUGGCUAACUGGAUGUAGCAUCGCAUUCCUUAUUGUUUUCGUUGCGAGUUACUAAAUUGUCACAUAUCCUCUUUGUUGCCUUGCAGAUGUGUGUGUGGCAUGCAUAAGUACUUGUAAAUUGUUUCCUUGGAGCAUAAAUAUGCUAGGCUGCUUAUUUGUCGUAACAUGAUUUGAUUUAAUUAAUGGCAGGAACGGCAUGGUGGAGUCGCUGAGUGUGCAGGGAUUCUUGUUUGGAGACUCUCAUUGCAUAAUUGACUAAACUUAGUUCUGUACUUUUAAUUAGAAGAUUGGUCCAUACUGUACGCUUGAAUGUGUUGGAUUAGAGAGCCAGGAUGCAUCUUGUAGUUGCCUCGUUUGUUGUUUGUUUUUACGUUACCUUGUCACAUGAGGCAUCAAUGGCUCAUUUGUUGCAAGCUACAUUUAUAAUUGUAUUAGCACUACCCCUUAGUCACAAGUUGUUAAACCUUCGUAUUUUGGCUCUUGAUCUAGUCUACGCAUGAAUGCAAAGUAUGCAGCCAUUAGUUGGUUGACGAUCAAAAGCAUAUGGUGCAGCCAAUGAAUUCUGGAAAGAUCGAUCUCUGUAGAGAGUGAAUGUUUUGUUAUUUUUCUACUUUUCAUUUUGUUAAUGGAAAUUUCUGUAGAGCCAGAGCGUUGGCAUUGUGUGUGUACUUACUCUUCUUAAUAUUACUAUAUUCAACUUGUUAAGUACAAUUGACAGAGGAGGCAAAGAAACUCAAG
rnacentral:lncRNA from 1 species